AUCACGCAGGGCCGAGGCGGCUCAGCCACGUUCUUUAAAUAUGGCUUUUCCCCGGCGCGCGCGACUCCGUGAGGAGUGGGGUGGAGCGCGUGUGGCGUGUGGCUGCGGCCUGGGCAAGAGCCGCCGCGGACCAUGAGUUGAGUAAAUUCGGGAGGGAUCCUGUUUCUAUUGAAGCCGUUGCACCCAGGAAGCUGUGAACUGUGAACCAGAGUGAAGCAGAAAUCUAGGAAGAUGAGCUCCAAGAUGGUCAUAAGUGAACCAGGACUGAAUUGGGAUAUUUCCCC